rnacentral:misc_RNA from 1 species
GAGAAGAAAGAUUCACCUCAGGUGAUGAUCAUUCUUAACUAAAUAUAUCUGCGUACUUCCAUACUUCUUUGUCUCUAUAUUAUUAAUUUCAAGUGUCCUUUACUCCAUACGCCCACCCAUUUCAAGAUGCCAAAUGGAUAACAAGUUAUAACACUAGUUUAGAAAGAAACUUCUAAAAUUUGAGUGACGGUGAAUUUCUAGCAAGCUCUAGUUCUAUUGGCGAAAUGGGACUGAAUAGUACUACCGCCUUGUUCGAGGAGAACUAGCGCUAAAUAUUACU